rnacentral:rRNA from 1 species
AUUGAACGCUGGCGGCAGGCCUAACACAUGCAAGUCGAGCGGAUGACGGGAGCUUGCUCCUUGAUUCAGCGGCGGACGGGUGAGUAAUGCCUAGGAAUCUGCCUGGUAGUGGGGGACAACGUUUCGAAAGGAACGCUAAUACCGCAUACGUCCUACGGGAGAAAGCAGGGGACCUUCGGGCCUUGCGCUAUCAGAUGAGCCUAGGUCGGAUUAGCUAGUUGGUGGGGUAAUGGCUCACCAAGGCGACGAUCCGUAACUGGUCUGAGAGGAUGAUCGGACAAACUGGAACUGAGACACGGUCCAGACUCCUACGGGAGGCAGCAGGGGGGAAUAUUGGACAAUGGGCGAAAGCCUGAUCCAGCCAUGCCGCGUGUGUGAAGAAGGUCUUCGGAUUGUAAAGCACAUUAAGUUGGGAGGAAGGGCAGUAAGUUAAUACCUUGCUGUUUUGACGUUACCGACAGAAUAAGCACCGGCUAACUCUGUGCCAGCCGCCGCGGUAAAAC